ACGGGUGCGUAACGCGUGGGAAUCUGCCCUUGGGUUCGGAAUAACAGUUAGAAAUGACUGCUAAUACCGGAUGAUGUCUUCGGACCAAAGAUUUAUCGCCCAAGGAUGAGCCCGCGUAAGAUUAGCUAGUUGGUGGGGUAAUGGCCCACCAAGGCGACGAUCUUUAGCUGGUCUGAGAGGAUGAUCAGCCACACUGGGACUGAGACACGGCCCAGACUCCUACGGGAGGCAGCAGUGGGGAAUAUUGGACAAUGGGCGAAAGCCUGAUCCAGCAAUGCCGCGUGAGUGAUGAAGGCCUUAGGGUUGUAAAGCUCUUUUACCAGGGAUGAUAAUGACAGUACCUGGAGAAUAAGCUCCGGCUAACUCCGUGCCAGCAGCCGCGGUAAUACGGAGGGAGCUAGCGUUGUUCGGAAUUACUGGGCGUAAAGCGUACGUAGGCGGUUACUCAAGUCAGAGGUGAAAGCCCGGGGCUCAACCCCGGAACUGCCUUUGAAACUAGGUAGCUAGAGUCUUGGAGAGGUUAGUGGAAUUCCGAGUGUAGAGGUGAAAUUCGCAGA
rnacentral:rRNA from 1 species